rnacentral:lncRNA from 1 species
UGCCACCCUGCCUCCCAGAUAAUCUGGGCAUUAUCACCUGGAAGGCCUGGCUAGUGACGAAGAGGGACUCUGUGGGCAGACCGGGGGAGGGUGGCAGCUCUGCUUCUGCCUGCCUCUGUCUGGGGGAUGGGCAAGCCAGCGGCAGAGCUCACUGGGGCUCUGCUCACAGUGCCCGCCAAGCCUCCCGGGUUCGGGCGGCCCCACACUGCAGGCCACAUCAAGCUUAGUGCUCACGGCCAGGCCAGCGCUGAAGAAGGGACUCCUUGGACCCCAGCCCCAGAAGCUGCAGUUAACUCCACUGCCAGAGGAGGGGGUGGCCGACCACCACACCUCAGCAGCCACAGUGGCCACCGGUCAUGCUUCCGGGUAAUGCCAACGUCUGAGGUGCCAGGUGCGGGGGUGUGUGGCUGAUGAGACUUCAGACGACCUCCAAGUGUGAGCGUAAGCCGGGCGGGGACGGGGGUGGGGGGGGGUAGGCUGGGCAACCUCCAGAGAACGUCCUGUUCCCCCCUCCCCCCACCAACUCCAGGCCUGCACUCAGGGGCUCCCAGGAGUCAGCAGCAGACCUUUGGGGUUUAACUGCAGGUGAUGUUUCAAAUGGAAAACACUGAAUUAAAAUGCACAUGAAAAACAAACCAUUCAGUAGUUGCUUUUGGAGGAGGGGGUGGACUGAGAAAGGGCGUGAAGAACUUUCUGGAACUUUCUGACGGAAAUGUUCGUUUUCCCGACAGGGAUGUGGAUUGCACUGACAUUUGCAGUGGUCAGUGCAUGACUGACUGAACUGUCCACCUAGGAUCUAGGCAUUCCCUGCACAGAAGUUACACACGUUAUUUAGAGAGGAGCGGCAGGGAGGUGGUGGUAAGGAGUUCUGGAAGGAUGAGUUUUCCAGAUAAAAAUGGUAACAGUUUAAAAAUCAAAAACAUUUUUAGUUUCACUAUUUUGAAAGAAAACUAACAUGUCUCAACGUUCAAGAACUCAGAAAACAAAGAGCACCAUAUUUAAGCUCUUUGGCUGACUGUUUCUUCAACCUGAACACACCAGUGAUUGGGCUGAAGGAUAAUGGAAUCAGGCCACCCUCACGUCCACGCGGCUGCCUUGCACCAUCUCCGUCCGCCACCCUCAGUGCCCCACAAACAGCAGUCACAACACUGCACCGCAGUUAGAUUCCGUUCUACCUUGGCCCUGGAGAAGCUGACCGUCUGGCAAAGCACGUAGCCCCACGGUCCCAGCCUCGACUGGAGCCCAUGUGUCCAUACUGUGGGUUUCUGACUUGAGCUAGACUGUCAGCCACUCUGCAUCUCAGAGCAGCUCCUGCAUCCCGGAUCCCUGAAAUGACCCAGUUCAUCACAGCACCGACGCCCCCGACUAACCGCAGGAAGCAAUUUCAGCUAAUCAAGACGCUCAUCAGCUCUCCAGACUGGGCCACAACUUUUCCAGACAGCACACACAGGCCGGGAGAGGCGCUGCGGCAGACAAGCAGAUGCGAUUUCCACUUUUGUUCUCAUUAAACAGUAGCAUAAUCAUGAUUUAUAAAAAUAUUCAAAUCUUGAAAAGCAUGUCAAAGUGCAACCUCGUCAACUGAACUCGAAAAAGUGACGCGUUCCAUGUGCGUGAUUUGAAAUCUGAUUUUUUUUUUUAAAUAGCCUCAAGGAAAUGUGGAGUUGGGGAAAGUAAUCAGGUUUUAAAACUCUUUUCUAGGAAAUAAUUAAUUAUGUUUCCAAACUCAAAAUAGAUGGGUUUUUUAUAAACCUAGAAAUCAACUUCCAAAACUGUUUUAAAUCAGGGAAAAAUGUGUUAAAAGUGGCUUCAGAGUCACAGUUGAUUGGCCAUCACAUAAAAAUCAUGUCGUCGCUAUCAGAAUCUUGUCUGUUUCUCCGCCUUUCUGGCCUGGGGGGAGGUGGGUGAUGGGAGGGGGGGUCUCUAGAAAUACAAACCAGC